CCACCCCACCCAAAGUCAUCAUUGGCUACUGGAGAAUCAGAGUCAACCGAAUGCAUAUGCAGCAUAUCCUACCCUAAUUGAAAUAUUGCUGAUCGAAAUCUAUCAAAAUAUUUACCCUUUAUAUUGGACAAAAUUGAUCAUUAGUAGAAGAAGCAAUAUCUAUUUUAUCAAAAUAUUUUCUCGGGGAUUUCACGAAAAAGCUUGACGGUUUUAUCAAAUUGUUUGGAGUGAGCGCAGGCAAUUCAGUAGGGGCAUUUCUUCGAACAGGUCGAGCGCGUGGUCAGACAUUUGGGACUUGCCAUAAAGCCACAGGAGGCGGACUGUGAAGCGUUCAUUGGUGAUAUCUUUGUACUGUUUUUGGUGGUUAAGGAUGUCAUGGAUCGAAGAGAGGCGGCCUGCAGUGUUGAGAAGAUCACUAAUUUGAGCUUUAACCACUGUGAGAGCCAGGAAGAGGGGUGGGGUGGGAAGAAGAUCCAUUUUUGUUUUCUUUCUCUCUGUUUUGUUUUUUUUUGUUUUUUGUUUUUUUUUAAUUUAUGUUUUUUUAAUUGUUU
rnacentral:lncRNA from 1 species